UACGUAGGGUGCAAGCGUUGUCCGGAAUUAUUGGGCGUAAAGAGCUCGUAGGCGGUUUGUCGCGUCGGCUGUGAAAACUCGGGGCUCAACCCCGAGCCUGCAGUCGAUACGGGCAAACUCGAGUGCGGUAGGGGAGACUGGAAUUCCUGGUGUAGCGGUGAAAUGCGCAGAUAUCAGGAAGAACACCGGUGGCGAAGGCGGCCAACUGGACCACAACUGACGCUGAGGCGCGAAAGCUAGGGGAGCAAACGGG
rnacentral:rRNA from 1 species